UCUUAUUGGAUGUUUUAUCAUUUUGUGCAGCGUAUAUCAGAGAUUUAUGUUUACAGUUUUCACAAUAUUCUGACAAAAAUGUGUGAGCAAAAGGGAAAGUCACUUUUGGGAGCUCGUCAUGCAAGCGCAAGUGUUCAAAAUCUACGAACUUUAAGACCAAAAUUUCCCAAAGAUGCUAAAGGAGGCUUGCAGUUCUUAUGAAGAACGAGGAUGGACGAGGAUGAACAUGAUCAUCAAACACCGUCAGCCACACAUCCAUAAAUGAGAAGAUUAGGAUUUAAGGAUGGACCUUCAUAUUCUCUAUCAAGGGAAAUUCCAUUAAGACACAAGAAAAAAUGUAGCUCCUUCAUAAAAUUUAAAAAAAAUCCCCAAAACGUAAGAAUAAAUAUAUUUUUAGUCUGCUUAUUUGUAUGAUUGAACGCUAAAG